AUUGAACGCUGGCGGCAUGCUUUACACAUGCAAGUCGAACGGCAGCACGGGCUUCGGCCUGGUGGCGAGUGGCGAACGGGUGAGUAAUAUAUCGGAACGUACCCAGAAGUGGGGGAUAACGUAGCGAAAGUUACGCUAAUACCGCAUACGAUCUAUGGAUGAAAGCAGGGGACCGCAAGGCCUUGUGCUCCUGGAGCGGCCGAUAUCUGAUUAGCUAGUUGGUGAGGUAAAGGCUCACCAAGGCGACGAUCAGUAGCUGGUCUGAGAGGACGACCAGCCACACUGGAACUGAGACACGGUCCAGACUCCUACGGGAGGCAGCAGUGGGGAAUUUUGGACAAUGGGCGCAAGCCUGAUCCAGCAAUGCCGCGUGAGUGAAGAAGGCCUUCGGGUUGUAAAGCUCUUUUGUCAGGGAAGAAACGGUAGAGGCUAAUAUCCUUUGCUAAUGACGGUACCUGAAGAAAAAGCACCGGCUAACUACGUG
rnacentral:rRNA from 1 species